GUCCGCUGUGGCUUGGCAGGCUGAAGAACUGGUGGUGGGGGACGAGCUGGUGGCUGUGACUUGGGAUCCCACUGGGCAGCACCAACUGAACAACCCCCAGCCCUAGCCCCGCCCCUUGGGCGGAGGGAGGUGAGGAAGAAGGCAGAAUCCUCCCCUUUAAAUUGUCCAAAUUGUCUUUUUUCUUUGGUCUUAGUCUGCGUGGGUGAAGAAAAAAAAAAAGUUUGUGACUUGCGCGGGGCUUGAGUCCUGGGGGGCGUGGCAUGAAAAUUGGGUGGCUGUGACUGAUGUGAUCUAAUGUUCAAAAUCACUUUUUGGUAAUAAUUUAUCAUUGUCAUUUGGCUUGAGUCUUCUGGUGGAGGUGGGUGAUGAAAUGUAAAAGUCUUGAAAAAAAAUUCUUCCUGAGCUAUGAUGUUGUUUGUUGGUGGUGGUGUGACCGUGUCCUGGCGAAUCCGAACAGCAUGCGGUCCACUUUAGCCCGGAGUAAGAGGAGUUUGCGGGCGAGACGCUUCCUGUCCGCACGUGGAAGCCUUCCCCGACGUCCUUAGUCGAGAGCGACUCUUCCGGGAAGACGGCAACAUGGCGUCGUCAACGGGCCAAAUGAAAUCUUUUGGCACCACUUGACCAUGUGGCCCCAGCGUCAGUCCUCUUUGCGCCAGGGAGGAAUAGCGCAGCGUUUCUUCCGCCAUCGCUCGCAGUACUGCCAAAAACGUCUCGUUCAAAUCUCCUGCGAAGAGGCUAUUCUGCUGGGAACUUUUGUCAGGACUUUGACUUGGAUUAGUAUUGCUUCUUCGAGGCAGAAGGAAUUUGGAACGAGCCUGACGUGAAUCAUCAUCUAUUGCUUGGAUUUUUGCCAACAAUUGCUCCUGCUGUGUUCGCUUAAUCAACCAUCGUCUGGGGGACUCUGAUGAUAGCGAAGAAGACCCGGGAAAUGGUGAUCUCAAAUCUCUGGGGUUGGCAAGCUAAUUGCACAGGCAGAUUCCACCGUCUCGCCGAGUGCCAGCAAGAGUCAUUAGUACCGCUACUCGUCAACUCAACCCCUCAACUGGAGAUAACUUUCUAGCAACUCAUCAUGGGGAAGGACAUAUUCAUAUGCCUUCACCAGCACCUGCAUUAAACAUGCAGAGAGUAACACAAGGAACGGCAGUCCCUCUUUGACUCCCUCAACAUGUGGCAGACAGAGGAGCCUGGAUCCCGCCUGGCCUACAGGCCAACAUGUUGUGGGGGAAGAAUGGCCGACAACAUUUCCUGCUCUG